ACGUAGGGGGCUAGCGUUAUUCGGAAUUACUGGGCGUAAAGCGCACGUAGGCGGACCGGAAAGUUGGAGGUGAAAUCCCAGGGCUCAACCUUGGAACUGCCUUCAAAACUUCUGGUCUUGAGGUCGAGAGAGGUAAGUGGAAUUCCGAGUGUAGAGGUGAAAUUCGUAGAUAUUCGGAGGAACACCAGUGGCGAAGGCGGCUUACUGGCUCGAUACUGACGCUGAGGUGCGAAAGCGUGGGGAGCAAGCAGGAUUAGAUACCCUGGUAGACCACGCCGUAAACGAUGAAUGCCAGUCGUCGGCAAGCAUGCUUGUCGGUGACACACCUAACGGAUUAAGCAUUCCGCCUGGGGAGUACGGCCGCAAGGUUA
rnacentral:rRNA from 1 species